AUUGAACGCUGGCGGCAGGCCUAACACAUGCAAGUCGAGCGGAGCGGCGGACGGGUGAGUAAUGCUUAGGAAUCUGCCUGGUAGUGCGGGAUAACGUCCGGAAACGGGCGCUAUUACCGCUUCCUAUCAGAUGAGCCUAGGUCGGUGUACCUAGUGGGUGGGGUAAAGGCCUACCAAGGCGAGGAUCCGUAACUGGUCUGAGAGGAUGAUCAGUCACACUGGAACUGAGAGACGGUCCAGACUCCUACGGUAGGCAGCAGUGGGGAAUAUUGGACAAUGGGCGAAAGCCUGAUCCAGCCAUGCCGCGUGUGUGAAGAAGGUCUUCGGGUUGUAAAGCACUUUAAGUUGGGAGGCGUUACCAACAGAAUAAGCACCGGCUAACUUCGUGCCAGCAGCCGCGGUAAUAC
rnacentral:rRNA from 1 species